AGAAUCAACGCUGGCGGCGUGCCUAACACAUGCAAGUCGCACGAGAAAGGGUAGCAAUACCUGAGUACAGUGGCGCACGGGUGAGUAACACGUGAAUAAUCUACCUCCGAGUGGGGAAUAACUGAGAGAAAUCUUAGCUAAUACCGCAUAACACUUACGAGUCAAAGCAGCAAUGCGCUUGGAGAGGAGUUCGCGGCCGAUUAGUUAGUUGGCGGGUAAUGGCCCACAAGACGAUGAUCGGUA
rnacentral:rRNA from 1 species